rnacentral:rRNA from 1 species
GAUGAACGCUGGCGGCGUGCUUAACACAUGCAAGUCGAACGAAGCACUUUAUUUGAUUUCCUUCGGGACUGAUUAUUUUGUGACUGAGUGGCGGACGGGUGAGUAACGCGUGGGUAACCUGCCUUGUACAGGGGGAUAACAGUUGGAAACGGCUGCUAAUACCGCAUAAGCGCACGGCAUCGCAUGAUGCAGUGUGAAAAACUCCGGUGGUAUAAGAUGGACCCGCGUUGGAUUAGCUAGUUGGUGAGGUAACGGCCCACCAAGGCGACGAUCCAUAGCCGACCUGAGAGGGUGACCGGCCACAUUGGGACUGAGACACGGCCCAAACUCCUACGGGAGGCAGCAGUGGGGAAUAUUGCACAAUGGGCGAAAGCCUGAUGCAGCGACGCCGCGUGAGCGAAGAAGUAUUUCGGUAUGUAAAGCUCUAUCAGCAGGGAAGAUAAUGACGGU